rnacentral:rRNA from 1 species
CAGUCGCCGCGGUAAUACGAAGGGUGCAAGCGUUAAUCGGAAUUACUGGGCGUAAAGCGUGCGUAGGCGGUUUGUUAAGUCUGUUGUGAAAUCCCCGGGCUCAACCUGGGAAUGGCAAUGGAUACUGGCAAGCUAGAGUGUGUCAGAGGAUGGUGGGAUUCCCGGUGUAGCGGUGAAAUGCGUAGAGAUCGGGAGGAACAUCAGUGGCGAAGGCGGCCAUCUGGGACAACACUGACGCUGAGGCACGAAAGCGUGGGGAGCAAACAGGAUUAGAUACCCCUGUAGUCCCUGUCUCUUAUAC